rnacentral:rRNA from 1 species
GAUGAACGCUGGCGGCGUGCCUAAUACAUGCAAGUCGAGCGAACGGACGAGAAGCUUGCUUCUCUGAUGUUAGCGGCGGACGGGUGAGUAACACGUGGAUAACCUACCUAUAAGACUGGGAUAACUUCGGGAAACCGUAGCUAAUACCGGAUAAUAUUUUGAACCGCAUGGUUCAAAAGUGAAAGACGGUCUUGCUGUCACUUAUAGAUGGAUCCGCGCUGCAUUAGCUAGUUGGUAAGGUAACGGCUUACCAAGGCAACGAUGCAUAGCCGACCUGAGAGGGUGAUCGGCCACACUGGAACUGAGACACGGUCCAGACUCCUACGGGAGGCAGCAGUAGGGAAUCUUCCGCAAUGGGCGAAAGCCUGACGGAGCAACGCCGCGUGAGUGAUGAAGGUCUUCGGAUCGUAAAGCUCUGUUAUUAGGGAAGAACAUAUGUGUAAGUAGCUGUGCACAUCUUGACGGUACCUAAUCAGAAAGCCACGGCUAACUACGUG